rfam:Thalassiosira oceanica strain CCMP1005 To_g33112, whole genome shotgun sequence.
GUCCAUUUGGUCUAGUGGUAUGAUUCCUGCUUUGGGUGCAGGAGGUCCCGGGUUCGACUCCCGGAAUGGACC